rnacentral:rRNA from 1 species
AGUCUAACAUGUAUGCGAGUCUAAGAGUGUUAAAACUUGAAUAGGCGUAAUGAAAGUAAGAUGGUAAGAAAACCGUAAGGUUAGCAUUAUCGAUCACUCCAGAUCCUCGAGUGAAGGAAGUGAAUAGUAGCAUAUAUGAUAGAACCCGAAAGAUGGUGAACUAUACUUGAGUAGAAUGAAGUCAGAGGAAACUCUGAUGGAAGUUCGUAGGGGUUCUGACGUGCAAAUCGAUCUUUAAACUUGAGUAUAGGGGCGAAAGACUAAUCGAACCAUCUAGUAGCUGGUUCCCUCCGAAGUUUCCCUCAGGAUAGCUGGAACUUUAACGAAUAGUUUUAUCAGGUAAAGCGAAUGAUUAGAAGCUCUGGGGAUGAAACAUCCUCGACUUAUUCUCAAACUUUAAAUAGGUAAGAUGAC